rnacentral:rRNA from 1 species
UCAUAUGCUCAUUUCAAAGAUUAAGCCAUGCAUGUCUCAGUACAAGCUGACCCCUAACCGGGGAAAAAGUGAAACCGCGAAUGGCUCAUUAUAUCAGUUAUGGUUCGUGAGAGCCAGAGAGAAAAGUGGAAACCACACGUGAAAGUUACUUGGAUAACUGUGGUAAUUCUAGAGCUAAUACAUGCCCAAAAGUGUUUACCCUGACAGGGUGCCAUGUGUGCCCAGGGUGCAUUUAUUUGAAAGUUGCUGUUCGGGGCUAUCCCGGCGGUGGUUAAGGUGCGACCGCCCGGUACCCACGCUGCGUUCGAGUUCUCCGGCUUCGGGAUAAAAUGCGUUUGGGGCGUCCGCUUCAGUGACGGUUCGCUAUGGCCACGGUCCGUAGUUUACGCGCCCGAGGGACAUGGUUUCUGAGGGUGGUCAACUCACACUGUACCCGUCCGGGCUGAAUCUCGUUCGUGCGUUCAAGGGCGCCGGCAACUGCGCUCACCGUUCUACGGGACCCGUCCGGCACAAAGAUUAAGCCACAAUAAACAGUUGAUCUGCCGAUCGUCUAUGGUAGUCGCGUCGAAACUUGCGCUCCGGCGCACAGCGGUACGCGCGCACGCCGACGACGGCUCUCGCAAGUGUCUGUCUUAUCAACUGUAGAUGGUAAGUUACGAGCCUACCAUGGUCGUAACGGGUAACGGGGAAUCAGGGUUCGAUUCCGGAGAGGGAGCCUGAGAAAUGGCUACCACAUCCAAGGAAGGCAGCAGGCACGCAAAUUACCCAAUCCCGGCACGGGGAGGUAGUGACGAAAAAUAACAAUACGAGACUCUUCCGAGGCCUCGUAAUUGGAAUGAGUGCAAUCUAAAGCCCUGUCUUUUGACGAGGAUCUAUUGGAGGGCAAGUCUGGUGCCAGCAGCCGCGGUAACACCAGCUCCAACGGCAUAUAUUAAAGCUGUUGCGGUUAAAAAGCUCAUAGUUGAAUCGAUUAACAGAGAAAGUUGGUCGGCCGAACCCGGAGUGAUCAAACAGUAACGGGUUGAGCCAAAAUGACACAACGCAGACCAUGAACAUGCCAACAAUUUGCACCCGGCCGGACUAGUCUUCUUGGAGAGAUUCCCUGCCGAAUGCGCGAAGCGCGUGGGACUGCGUGCGGGAGAAUGGGAGCGAUUGAGAGGAGCUAAGUGGGGGGUUUUCGCCUUUGGCCGCACAUGUUGCCGGGCCGUUGUACGCGGACUCUUUCCCCUCUCCAUGUCUCUCUCCCUAAACCUCAAACGAACGUACGUUCGGGUCUCUCAAGCGGUCGCGCGGCGUGGGUUUGGUAUCCGAUAACGAAACAAGAAUGUUUUCAUUAGUCAAGAACGAAAGUCAGAGGUUCGAAGGCGAUCAGAUACCGCCCUAGUUCUGACCAUAAACGAUGCCAACUCGCAAUCAGCCGUCGUUCCUCCAAUGACGCGGCUGGCAGCUUGCCCCCGGGAAACCAAAGUGUCUGGGUUCCGGGGGUAGUAUGGUUGCAAAACUGAAACUUAAAGGAAUUGACGGAAGGGCACCACCAGAGGUGGAGCCUGCGGCUUAAUUUGACUCAACACGGGGAAACUUACCCGGCCCGGACAUUGAAAGGAUUGACAGAUUGAUAGCUCUUUCUUGAUUCAAUGGGUGGUGGUGCAUGGCCGUUCCUGGUUGGUGGAGUGAUUUGUCUGGUUGAUUCCGAUAACGAACGAGACUCUGGCCUACUAAAUAGACGGUGCGGUGAGAAAAGGAUCUCUCCUCCGUCCGCACUUGCACCGAGCUGCGCCAUGCUUUCGUAGCCUCGCUCGUCCGUCCGCAUUCCCCCCUCGGGCAAGUGGGACUCCGGUCCUGCCGGUCCCGUUGGAGUGUGCGGUGGUUGUUGCGUUGCCGCGUUACGCGAGGUGUUGGUUCCGCGCGCUUGCUGCGGCGUGAGGUCGGUCCGAAAAGAGCCGUUGAUCAAAAUAUAUAUACCGUCAGAAUGAAUUUUCUUCUUAGAGGGACUAGCGGCGUAUAGCCGCAUGAAACAGAGCAAUAACA